UUUUUUCGCAUACUCCGAGCUAGUUUACCUAAGUCGAUAGAUAAGGUGGCUAUGCCAAACACAUUAAGUGUUUCACGGAUAGAUUGGAAACGGUCUAUCCCCUCGUAUUUAGAAAGGUGUUUAUGCAACAAUAUA
rnacentral:ncRNA from 1 species